rnacentral:lncRNA from 1 species
AUGAGAGAACUUUCUUCAAUACCGUGUCUGAUAAUGGAACAGAUGACAGCUCCGUCUGUUCUGAGGAUACAUUGUAUUCAGAUGAAUCUAAUGAUAAUGAUAAUGGAUACAUUGUAUUCAGAUGAAUCUAAUGAUAAUGAUAAUGACAAUGACGAUGCGCUUCAGUCUCCUCAGCCAGAGGAUCCAUCAGUAUUAAUGGAGAAGUUUUUAAGCGAGUGGGCGUUCGAAGCUAAUGUAAGCCACAGACGGUUGAGUCUUCUGUGUCAUGGAUUGAAAAGUAAUCAUCCAGAAUGCUUCUUGAAGUUGCAUCUUGAUGCCCGAACUUACUUUGAAACGCCUCGAAGUAAACUUGCUCUAACGGACAAUGGACAUGCAAGCACUCAACUCCGCAACCCCAGGGAAAUACUUGCAUAUCCGUGUGAGGAAACAGUUAGAAACUUUGAUUCCUUUGUUGUCGGACUCCUUUAGAGUGCUGAAACUACUAUUUACUGUUGAUGGGCUGCCGUUCAUCAAAGGAGGAAUCCAUGAACUUUGGCCAAUGCUGAUGAGGCUGAUCUUUU